UACGUAGGGUGCAAGCGUUAAUCGGAAUUACUGGGCGUAAAGCGCGCGUAGGUGGUUUGUUAAGUUGAAUGUGAAAGCCCCGGGCUCAACCUGGGAACUGCAUCCAAAACUGGCAAGCUAGAGUACGGUAGAGGGUGGUGGAAUUUCCUGUGUAGCGGUGAAAUGCGUAGAUAUAGGAAGGAACACCAGUGGCGAAGGCGACCACCUGGACUGAUACUGACACUGAGGUGCGAAAGCGUGGGGAGCAAACAGG
rnacentral:rRNA from 1 species